GCGGCACUGCCUGGCCAUUAAUCACCGCGCCUGCCGCGAGUGACGGCCAGGGUGACGGGGCCAGCCGGCGACAGCCAGCCCUGCGGCCGCCCCGGCACCCCUUCCCCGGGGCCUGCUGUCCCCAGGAAACGGGGGCAGGGCAAGGACUGGAUGAGUGGACCCCGUUCUACUCUCAGCGGGCCUGUUUCCAGACGCCAAGGGGCAGGGCUAGGCUGGGACAAAGCAGGAAACCAGCGCCCCGCAUCCCCGUUGCCCAGCCCUGCCUGCACCUCAUCGAAGAGGGGGCCCGGGGGCAGCAAGGGCCGGCACAACCUUCCUGGAAGUAGUGGACAUUGAGGAAAAGGCCCAGACCCCUGCUGGCCCUCUCCCUUCUCCAGCCUGUGGGCCUGACAGGUCCAGCUGCAGGGGACCUCCAGCCUUCCCAGGACGAGCUGUCAGGACCAGGAGGGGCAGAGCCCAGCGCCCAGCCGCUUCUGGCUCCUGUUGGAUGAAGUGUGGCCUCCUCUUCCUCCAAGAAGGACAGGGGUCGGGACUCUUCACUGAAUCUCAGUAAAGGGAGUGCCUGAUGCAGCCACACCAGACCCCCCAAGUCUGCACACCAACCCAUCUUCACAGGAGGAAACCAAAGCUCAAGAACCAGAGGGAUCAAGGCCAAGGGUCAAAGACAACCCAAGCUGCACCCCUGCCUGCCGGGCCCCCCCCGACCCCUGCCCCUGCCCACCUGCCAGCUCUGCCGGAACCCUCCAGAGCAGGCACUGCUCAGGCUGGUGCAGACGCUGGGGGGCACCCGAGUCUGACGCUUUCCCGGGCAACGCCUGCUGGGGUCUGAGACGGGGGGGCCAACAGGGAACGCACCCCCACCACUGUGGCGCUCCAUUUUAUUAGAAAGACAGUUGAGAAAGGUCUGCUAGCCAAGAAGUCAUCAUCAUCUGUUUAGUUCUAAAAACCAAUAUCCUCUAAGGACCAAUCCUGGGGGUGCAGCCUAAGAGGGGUGAAGGUGACGACGGGCUGAGGAAAUGGGAGCAGGGGCCUUCCUUUCAAGAGCCCGUAGGCCCUGGGCCCACAUGCAUGCCUGGCCAUCAGCACAGCAGCAGGGGGCUGGGACGCAGGCAGCCCACCCAGCUGGCUUCCUGGGAGGCACCCAGGACAGCCUGGGACCAGAGCCUGGACCAUUAGCCACUUCCUAUGAACAGCCACUUCCUAUGAAUAGCCGCCUCCCUGCCUCCCGUUAAUAUUGCAACACUUCUUCACGUCGGAGCUGAAGUCGCGCAAAAAAUGGGGCUGCUGUAAUUGUUGGUAGAUUGUGUGUCUGCCAGAUAAGAUGUAACAAAUACUUUCCUCCCCACCAG
rnacentral:lncRNA from 1 species